rnacentral:lncRNA from 1 species
ACUUAGCUCUGGAUACUCAGAAUUUCUCUAAUUAUGAAGCACCUGUGUCUUAAAGCAUCCUGCUCCAAAAAGCCCCAUGAGACUCUGCAGAGAAGGCAAAUUCAAGAAGCAUCUUCCAAAGGCGGGGGAAGAAGAGGCGUAACAUGUGGCUAGUCUCCCAUGCAGAGCCGCAUGAGAAAGGAACACAUCAUUGGUGACAAGUGGGCUGUCCUAUUUCCCUCUCCCCUGGCUCUCAUUCCCCAUCAUUCCUGACCAUUUGUGUUAACCUCCUCUCUUCUUUGUGUUCUGAUGCUUUGACAUCUGGGACCUCGCCGGUCUGGAGAGACUGCCUCUCCUGGAGUUAGCCCAUUCCUAGAGAGAGGGUACUUGCAGAUGCAGACUAACCCAUUCAGAGCCUAUAUCCCCAGCCACCAUCUUUACUGGGCUCUUACACUCUGGUCCACCAUCUACCUGCCCUAAUGACCCCAGGACCAGGUACAAGACGACUAGGUCAGCCCUUUAUGCCCCCAGAAUUCGCUUAUUCAAACUAGCCAAUCCUAAGCCUGAUUCCUGCCUUGCCUGGUCCUUCCCGCAGAAACCAAAACAAAGGCUUCGCCAUAGUUCCCCUUUGCCGUCUGCCUCCUAACCAACCCUGACGCUUCCCUAUGCACACCCCCCACAGUGUGGUGGGCCCCCUCCUCCUGGGAUCUGUGUGUACUAAAAGCUACCUUUUCAAUGGCAAUCAACUCCUGACAUGUGGGCCUCACCAUAGCUGCCUGAUAAUAAGACCUAUAUUUUGAAACACCACUAUUAGCUUUGGCAGGCUUUUUUUUGUAACUUUGGCCACAACAUGGUAGGUCUUGGUAUGACAGCAAUACUUUCAUGCGAUGAACUGUCUUGAUUUUUUUAAAAACAUGGUUAACUUUUUUCUAAUGCCUUUACAAUGGAUUGCUUAGUAAAGACACACUGUUUAAAUAAAGCAAGCUUUGGAUCCAUACUCUCCUAGGCAACAAAUUCAGCUGUUGCAGUGGCUUUCAGAUUCCUACAACAUUUCUUCAGGGAGGAGGAAGGGAGAGAGUUUCGGAAGUUUGAGGCCUGAAUUUUAGUGUUUGCAAAGCAACUCAGUUAGCUAGGAAAGGCGGUUCCUUCUCUAAGGCUCCAUCUGAAAAAAAAAAAAGCAAAAAUGGAGGUUGGACAAACCCUCUCCGAGGUCAGUUCCUGAAUAAAGGGACCAGCUGGGAUGAGAAGCCAGCCUUCCAAUGGAGAGAGGAAGACGGAGAACACGUCCUAGCAGCAGAGGGCAGCUCUACCUUAAAGCAGAGAAAGAAUGCGGAAAACCAAUCACGUGACAACCUGGCCUACCAGACACCCACAACAAGCUGAGGAGGUGCUGCAGAGCUGUGCUGUUUUCUGCAAAAACAAAAUUAAGCCUGGAAAAUCAAGAGAAAGAAAGGGAGGAAUAAAGUGGGGACCCUUCCAGAGUCUGGGGUUCAGCCUGUAGACCAAUGGUCUAUUCCUGGGAUGUACCUUUGGGGCAGGAGCCAGUGCCUCUUAAAGAUGAUUCCUCCGAAAUGAACCGAAACAGACGGCAGUGCUGACAGCUGUUGUGGAAAGUAUUAGCAAAACAUUACAUUUCAAAAAGGAAUACAGCACAUAUUUGAGACGGACUUUGGGUAGGAGUUAGACAAAGCUAGAUGUUUUUAAGGAGGACUUUUAGGAGGAGGGGUCCAUUGAUGUAAAAAUAUGGAGGCUAAGGAUGGAAGGACAUUUCAGGUCCUAACACGAGGUCCAGUUUUCCUAGAAUAUUAAAUACUAAGUACAUCUAGAAGAGCAGUGGGGAUGGAUGAGCCCUAGAGAGUAGAAUGGGGAGACUAAAUUCCUUCUCUCCAGCCCCGGCUCCGAGGGAGCAAGCUGCCGAGAAUCACGAAUCCUGCAGCCUAGAAGGAAACCGUGUCUACUAACACUGCAGGGAGUGGGUGUGGACACCUCCGCAUUGAUCCCGGGGUAAGAACUCAGUCGUGUAGCUGGAGUGCAGCCUGGUGAAACCCUGAGCCGAAGACCAGCUGAGCCAUGCUGGACUCCGAACCCUGGACUCAUAGAAAUGGUAAGAUAACAAACAAGUGUUGUUUUCAGCCACUAAGAUGUGGUAAUUUGUUACGCAGCAAUAGGUCACUAAUGCAGAUGGUGGUGGAUGGCCUGUAUCUAAUUACACAGGCAAUGGGGAGCCAUUAGAAGUGUUUGAGCUGGGACGUGUAACAAGGGCUAUUUCAAAUGUGCUUAGCCCUUAUCAUCCACUAUUUUUUCUCUUAGUCAGGUGUUCAGUUCAAGGCAUAUUAUCAGCAAGUUUCCACUAUGAAAAAAGGACAUCCCUUUAGAAAUUGAAAAAAGGAAGCAACUUUUUGGUUUUUGUUCUUGUUGUUAAGAGGUAGUCUUUCUAUUUCUCGUAUUCUUUAUAUAUCAAGUUAUAUUUAUUAUACAUUAUGGUUUGUUAUUUGUUUAGGUUUUCAUCUUCUGAUGUUUAUUCUGGGGUUAAGGUUUUAUUACCUUAUUUCUCUCUUUGGAACUUUUGAAACUAUGAAAAGAAUGUUGGACCAGAAUCACAUGAUUCCUCAAGUCAUCUUCUUGUUUUAUGGAAGACAAGUAAAUUCGGGGGUCAGAGCCUGGCCUCUUGCCACCGUGAGGGAACUUUACUAAAGCAGCGGGUCAUACAAACAGUAUCUUUCUUUCAGCCCCUUAAGACCGUGAAGGAAUGUACCCCUCACUUCCAACCCCACACAGACACUCACCACGUAAAACCACCUCCAUCCUCCUCCUCUGCCGAGGUACCCAUAAUGCACCUUGUGACUUUUGUGAACCCCAGUGGCAAGACUGAGGACAGCACAGGAUGCUUAGGUCCGAAGCAAACAGGAGGAAAUUGUUCCAGCAUCGCUCUCAACUUCUGCACCCCACCUUGCGGUAUUCACUGUGUGAAUGGAACAUGAAUCACUCUUCUAAGCUGUUGAAGUUCAGAGAUUCAAAUGCUUUGGUGCUGAAAGAACGAUUGUUUGGGUUUUGUGCAGCAGUCAAUGCCGACGGCAUUCACUUCAUCUAACACUUCAAAACAUAACUUGUUGCCAGAGAUCCCUUCCCCCCCCUGCUCUGUUAGGAUUCCUUCUCUUUCUAGCCUCCUCAGGGAACGUCAGACUAUUGCGAGCUAUUGAAAGUUGUUCCCCUAGUCUGCUAAGAGUCUUUGGUCCCUUCUCCCUUUCAGCAAGCACACCGCGCCAUACUCUUAUUUUAUUUGUCCUGCUUCUGCGUUGGCAUUAAAAUGCC